AAGGCCGAAAGCACCCAAGCCAGUUUUUCGCUGAGCAGGACUUUGGUCAUGUCGCUGACCGUGGCUGGCUUUCGCGCGACAGGUGAGUCUCGUGCUACAGCGAAGAAGAUGACCGCCCAAACAAGGGUUAUGACCGCGACACCAUAGAAAACGAUAUUGCGUCCGUAUGCUGCUCCGAUCAGGGGUCCAAGAAAGACAGCAGCUGAGUGUCCCAUGUUCCCGAGGCCGUAGACGCCGAGUGCAGUGCCUUGCUUUUCCGGUCCAAACCAGCGCGAGACGAAGCCAACGCCAACAGCGAAGGAUGAUCCUGCGAG
rnacentral:misc_RNA from 1 species